GCUUGUCUCAAAGAUUAAGCCAUGCAUGUUCAAGUAUAGCAAGUGUACAGUGAAACUGCGAAUGGCUCAUUAUAUCAGUUAUAGUUUAUUUGAUAGUCCCUGCUAUUUGGAUAACCGUAGUAAUUCUAGAGCUAAUACAUGCACAAAGCAGCCCUCACGGGUUGUGUAUUUAUUAGAUACAAUCAGCCCCCUCGGGGUCAUGAUGAAUCAUAAUAACUGAACUAAGCGCAUGCUUUGGCGGCGCUGUUUCAUUCAAGUUUCUGCCCUAUCAGCUUUCGAUGGUAGGGUAUUGGCCUACCAUGGCGUUAACGGGUAACGGAGAAUUAGGGUUCGAUUCCGGAGAGGGAGCCUGAGAGAUGGCUACCACAUCCAAGGAAGGCAGCAGG
rnacentral:rRNA from 1 species